GCUGCUUCAGGCUGCAAUCGGAGGAUUUUCUUCAUUCUUCCCAGAUUACAAGGAGAGGAUUGCUAGACAUGAAGCAGCUCAUUUCUUAGGUAACAAACACACAGAGACAUUAACAGCAUUUCACAUUUAUGCAUUUAGCUGUGCCUCAACUCUUGUUGUGGCUUCAUCCUUAAGACGACUUUUCAUGUAUGUAGUUGCAUACUUACUCGGCCUUCCCAUCCUCGGAUAUUCACUGGACAUCGGAAAAGAGAAUGUCAAUCUCAUCGAUGAGAGGCUUGAGAAGCUUAUUUACAGUGGACAGCUCGAUGCCAAGGAACUAGACAGGUAUCAAUUAACCUAUUCUUGCACACUCCAUUUCUGAUGUCUCAUUGC
rnacentral:lncRNA from 1 species